rnacentral:rRNA from 1 species
AGAGUUUGAUCAUGGCUCAGAUUGAACGCUGGCGGCAGGCCUAACACAUGCAAGUCGAACGGUAACAGGAAGCAGCUUGCUGCUUUGCUGACGAGUGGCGGACGGGUGAGUAAUGUCUGGGAAACUGCCUGAUGGAGGGGGAUAACUACUGGAAACGGUAGCUAAUACCGCAUAACGUCGCAAGACCAAAGAGGGGGACCUUCGGGCCUCUUGCCAUCGGAUGUGCCCAGAUGGGAUUAGCUAGUAGGUGGGGUAAAGGCUCACCUAGGCGACGAUCCCUAGCUGGUCUGAGAGGAUGACCAGCCACACUGGAACUGAGACACGGUCCAGACUCCUACGGGAGGCAGCAGUGGGGAAUAUUGCACAAUGGGCGCAAGCCUGAUGCAGCCAUGCCGCGUGUAUGAAGAAGGCCUUCGGGUUGUAAAGUACUUUCAGCGGGGAGGAAGGGAGUAAAGUUAAUACCUUUGCUCAUUGACGUUACCCGCAGAAGAAGCACCGGCUAACUCCGUGCCAGCAGCCGCGGUAAUACGGAGGGUGCAAGCGUUAAUCGGAAUUACUGGGCGUAAAGCGCACGCAGGCGGUUUGUUAAGUCAGAUGUGAAAUCCCCGGGCUCAACCUGGGAACUGCAUCUGAUACUGGCAAGCUUGAGUCUCGUAGAGGGGGGUAGAAUUCCAGGUGUAGCGGUGAAAUGCGUAGAGAUCUGGAGGAAUACCGGUGGCGAAGGCGGCCCCCUGGACGAAGACUGACGCUCAGGUGCGAAAGCGUGGGAGCAAACAGGAUUAGAUACCCUGGUAGUCCACGCCGUAAACGAUGUCGACUUGGAGGUUGUGCCCUUGAGGCGUGGCUUCCGGAGCUAACGCGUUAAGUCGACCGCCUGGGGAGUACGGCCGCAAGGUUAAAACUCAAAUGAAUUGACGGGGGCCCGCACAAGCGGUGGAGCAUGUGGUUUAAUUCGAUGCAACGCGAAGAACCUUACCUGGUCUUGACAUCCACAGAACUUUCCAGAGAUGGAUUGGUGCCUUCGGGAACUGUGAGACAGGUGCUGCAUGGCUGUCGUCAGCUCGUGUUGUGAAAUGUUGGGUUAAGUCCCGCAACGAGCGCAACCCUUAUCCUUUGUUGCCAGCGGUCCGGCCGGGAACUCAAAGGAGACUGCCAGUGAUAAACUGGAGGAAGGUGGGGAUGACGUCAAGUCAUCAUGGCCCUUACGACCAGGGCUACACACGUGCUACAAUGGCGCAUACAAAGAGAAGCGACCUCGCGAGAGCAAGCGGACCUCAUAAAGUGCGUCGUAGUCCGGAUUGGAGUCUGCAACUCGACUCCAUGAAGUCGGAAUCGCUAGUAAUCGUGGAUCAGAAUGCCACGGUGAAUACGUUCCCGGGCCUUGUACACACCGCCCGUCACACCAUGGGAGUGGGUUGCAAAAGAAGUAGGUAGCUUAACCUUCGGGAGGGCGCUUACCACUUUGUGAUUCAUGACUGGGGUGAAGUCGUAACAAGGUAACCGUAGGGGAACCUGCGGUUGGAUCACCU